CCUCCGGAGGGCAGCAGUGGGGAAUAUUGCCACAUUGGGCGAAAGCCUGAUGCAGGCGACGCCGCGUGAAGGGAUGACGGCCUUCGGGUGUAAACCUUCUUCAGUAGGGAGGAAGCGAAAGUGACGGUACUUGCAGAAGAAGCGCCGCUAACUACGUGCCAGCAGCCGCGGUAAUACGUAGGGCGCAAGCGUAUCCGGGAAUUAUUGGGCGUAAAGAAGCUCGUAGGCGGUUUGUCGCGUCUGCUGUGAAAGACCGGGGCUCAACUCCGGUUCUGCAGUGGGUACGGGCAGACUAGAGUGAUGUAGGGGAGACUGGAAUUCCUGGUGUAGCGGUGAAAUGCGCAGAUAUCAGGAGGAACACCGAUGGCGAAGGCAGGUCUCUGGGCAUUAACUGACGCUGAGGAGCGAAAGCAUGGGGAGCGAACAGGAUUAGAUACCCUGGUAGUCCAUGCCGUAAACGUUGGGCACUAGGUGUGGGGGACAUUCCACGUUUUCCGCGCCGUAGCUAACGCAUUAAGUGCCCCGCCUGGGGAGUACGGCCGCAAGGCUAAAACUCAAAGGAAUUGACGGGGGCCCGCACAAGCGGCGGAGCAUGCGGAUUAAUUCGAUGCAACGCGAAGAACCUUACCAAGGCUUGACAUGGACCGGACCGCCGCAGAAAUGUGGUUUCCCCUUUGGGGCCGGUUCACAGGUGGUGCAUGGCUGUCGUCAGCUCGUGUCGUGAGAUGUUGGGUUAAGUCCCGCAACGAGCGCAACCCUCGUUCUAUGUUGCCAGCACGUGAUGGUGGGGACUCAUAGGAGACUGCCGGGGUCAACUCGGAGGAAGGUGGGGACGACGUCAAAUCAUCAUGCCCCUUAUGUCUUGGGCUUCACGCAUGCUACAAUGGCCGGUACAAAGGGUUGCGAUACUGUGAGGUGGAGCUAAUCCCAAAAAGCCGGUCUCAGUUCGGAUUGGGGUCUGCAACUCGACCCCAUGAAGUCGGAGUCGCUAGUAAUCGCAGAUCAGCAACGCCGCGGUGAAUACGUUCCCGGG
rnacentral:rRNA from 1 species